rnacentral:rRNA from 1 species
AUGAGCCAGCAAAUCCCGUCAGCAGGUGUUGGUGGCUCAAGCACUGCCUCAGUAGCAGCACCUGCACUCCCUCAAGUUGAUUCGGAUGACCCUGCGUGGAAGUAUUGCCCUCUUCCAGAUGUGAACAAGAAGCAUUGGCAGCGAUGCAACUUUUGUGGCAAGAUAUGCACAGCUGGCAUUACAAGGAUAAAGUUUCACCUUUCACAAAUAACGAAUUGUGGUGUCUUACCAUGCAAGAAGGUUCCUAGUGAUGUCAGGCUGGAGAUGAUAGCUUUGCUCCUAAAGAGUGCUGAGCUGAAGGAAAAAAAGAUCGAGGGAUUGGAGGCGCUCAGAUCUAGUGUUGACUUAGAUCACUCCGAUGGAGAACAAGGAACUGAUGAAGAAGAUGGCAAUCAGGUUGUGAUUUUGAGGCCAAAACCAGGCACAAGCAGCUCAAUGGGUGGCCCUAUGGACAAAUUCUGCAAGCCUAGUAUAGAAGAAACUGUCAAGAGGAAGCAAAAAAGAAAUUGUGAAUACGAAAAGGUUCAGUCGAAGUUGUCAACUCAGGAAAGACAACAGAGGAGGGAUAGAGCUUGUGGAUAUAUAUGUCAAUUUUUCUAUGAAGCUAGCAUCCCACAUAACACUGUCACACUUCCUAGCUUUGCAUGUAUGCUUCAGGCCAUUGGAGAUGUUGGCACAAACUUCGAUGGGCCUACUGCAUAUGAGAUGAGUGGACCAUUCUUGCAGAAAAGGAAGAAGAAGGUGUUAGAUUCAUUCAAACCACAUAAGCAAGCAUGGGAGCACACAGGUUGUACCGUAAUGACAGAUGCAUGGACAGAUAAAAAGGGCAGGGGGGUAAUGAACCUAGUUGUGCAUAGUUCUCAAGGAGUCAUAUUCUUGAAUUCAGUUGAUUGUUCAUCUGUCCAAAAAAUGGCAAAUACAUCUUUGACCUCGUUGAUAAUUGCAUUGAAGAUAUAG